rnacentral:rRNA from 1 species
AUUGAACGCUGGCGGCAUGCCUUACACAUGCAAGUCGAACGGUAACAGGUUAAGCUGACGAGUGGCGAACGGGUGAGUAAUGUAUCGGAACGUGCCCAGUCGUGGGGGAUAACUACUCGAAAGAGUGGCUAAUACCGCAUACGACCUGAGGGUGAAAGCGGGGGACCGUAAGGCCUCGCGCGAUUGGAGCGGCCGAUAUCAGAUUAGCUAGUUGGUGGGGUAAAAGCCCACCAAGGCGACGAUCUGUAGCUGGUCUGAGAGGACGACCAGCCACACUGGGACUGAGACACGGCCCAGACUCCUACGGGAGGCAGCAGUGGGGAAUUUUGGACAAUGGACGCAAGUCUGAUCCAGCCAUGCCGCGUGCGGGAAGAAGGCCUUCGGGUUGUAAACCGCUUUUGUCAGGGAAGAAACGGUCCUGGUUAAUACCCGGGGCUAAUGACGGUACCGUAAGAAUAAGCACCGGCUAACUACGUGCCAGCCGCCGCUGUAACAC